AUUUUAUAUCAAACAGAUCCAAAUGUCUAAAAAGAUCCGUUCCAGCAGCUUGGAAAAAACGACUUUGCAGAGCUGCAGCGUGAUUGGUUGACGGCGUUCGUACCUUCUCGGCAGGACUGGCUGUGGUCACGCUCUCCGAGUCUGGACUGGAAACAGUGGAGCUCUCUGGGUGAAAGAACAGACGUCUUUUGUAACUCGUGUGGUGAGUCACACUCUCAGAGACGUUCAGGAGCAGGAGGGUUUACCCGGGCUGCUCUCCUUCUCCUCGCUCAGGCUCCCCGAGACGCCCCUCUCUUUGGACUGGUCCUGCACGUUCAGCUUGUCUCUGCUGCUCAUCCUGCACACAGAACUCCUGGAAACAAGGAAAAAACAAAAAAA